GCGCUUCAUGAGUAGAACCGUGAGCAGUGUCGAACUUUUGGUUUCCACCGCCAUCGAGGGAGUGUUUCGGGUGUAAGGCCGGGGUUUCUUCGACGCGACUGACCGAACAAGUUGCCGAACUUUGCGCUGGAGUACCCGUACUAGGCGAGGAUGGGGCGGUGCACGGUUGCAAAGAGCCGACCUCGCCCCGAGCUGCCCUGCACGCUUCAGCCAUAACGUGCGCCGUUCCGUUGCGCGCCUAUGCACUUUGCGCUUCGAUACCAAGUCCAGGGGAAUCGCAAGCCUUCUCAGCAGCUCGACGCCACGUUUGAUCCCUUUUUGGCAGGUUUCCUUCGCACAGGUUCCAGAAGAUGCCUCACUGACGCUGGAGUACGCCCCAGUACUGGGUCCGAUCCCGGUGCGGUGGUGCACACACGAGCGGCGCCUUCAGUAAGGAGCCGCUAGCGACUGAAAACAGCCGCCAACAACGAUCGCGGUAACCUGUGUAAACCCUGCUGUAGUUUUCCACUCUGGACACCGUUUCCGCAAUACACGUCUUGUCCCUACCUAACAAGUUUAGGCUCUCAGAAUGGGGGCACGCUCGUGGCCCAGGGAGAUGUCAUGUUCGUCACGGCUGUGGCGUGAAUGCUGCGCGGGAGGCGCGAUGGCAUUGCCCUGCCGCCCUGCAGAGGCGCUUACGCUACUGUUGGCGGGCUCCGGCAACCACAUCGACGACACUUGCUAACUGUUGGCUAGUUCGAGAGUCAUGCCUGCAUUCACGAUAAAGUGCAACGUUGAACUUUCAAAGGAGAAAGCUACAGCGCUGUGUAAGGAGGCGAGCAAGGUCAUGGCUGACAUUUUGGGGAAACCCGAGUCGUUCGUGACUGUGACUUACGAGGUGCCGCUAGCCAUGACCUGGGACGGUAACGAGGAACCGGCUGCCGUUUGCAUGCUACUUUCUCUUGGAACCUCUAGCCCGGAACAUAACGUCAAGGUAUCCGCCAAAGUUGCAGAACUUUUGCGUAAACACUGCGGGGUGCAGCCGAGUCGCUACUAUGUGGAGUUCGUGGACCCUCCGCGGAGCGACCUAGGUUGGAAUGGACGCACUUUUGCGUAACAAACACAGCAAAACACUUUUAGACGAAAUAUCUGGGAGGUAAAG